UACGUAGGGUACGAGCGUUAAUCGGAAUUACUGGGCGUAAAGCGUGCGCAGGCGGUUCGUUGUGUCGGUGGUGAAAUCCCCGGGCUUAACCUGGGAAUGGCCAUGGAAACUGGCGAACUGGAGUGCGGCAGAGGGGGGUGGAAUUCCGCGUGUAGCAGUGAAAUGCGUAGAGAUGCGGAGGAACACCGAUGGCGAAGGCAGCCCCCUGGGCUAGCACUGACGCUCAGGCACGAAAGCGUGGGGAGCAAACAGG
rnacentral:rRNA from 1 species